GGGGUCGCUCCGGUUUCGACUGGAUGUGCGAAAUGCCGAUUGCAUGCCGGGGAUGACCGUUGGCCCCGUUAAACAUCGGUCGAAAAAACAACAGCGAACGAAGAGUACGCUCUGGCUGCCUGAGGCAGUCACGUUUCCCCUCUGACGGACACUAAGAGAUGGAAACGCAGGCAGUGUCCUGGCUCGGGGAUCUUAUCUUGCGGUCCCCUUGCGAGAUUUCAGCAGGAGCAGUCGCGAUGCCGCCCGUCCGCGGGCUAAGCGGAGAGACGAUAAAACGAUGACUCGCGGAACAAGCAUGUAGAGGUCGUCAGGCCGUCAUCACAGGACGGGGGUUCAAUUCCCCCCGACUCCACCA
rnacentral:tmRNA from 1 species